rnacentral:rRNA from 1 species
AUGGCGCCGCCGCCGCCUCGCCGCUCUGCUCCCAUGUUCCCCGCCGGCGGCACGACGCGGAGCAUGCUCCUCCAGGCGGCGUACGACGGCGACCUCCGCUCCUUCAAGAGCCACGCGAGGGCGCUGGACAAGGGCAGGGGCCGCCUCAGGGAGACGGUGGAGGCGGUGACCGUGGAAGGAGACGACGAGGCACUGGAGGGCGUCGGGGCGCUGCACCUCGCCGCCGCCAGGGGGAACCUGGAGAUGUGCGCCUACUUGGUCGAGGAGCUGCGCGUGGACGUGAACGCCGUCGACAACGGAGGUAGAACGCCUCUGAUUCAUGCUAUGUACGGUGAGAGGGUGGGCACUUUCAAGUAUCUUCUUGAUCAUGGUGCCAAUCCAGACAGAGUUGACCCCAAUGGAUUUGCCCCUCUACAUUCUGCUGCUGGAUCAGGAUAUUGUGAAAUGGUAAAGCUAUUACUUGCAAGAGGAGCUUGCACCGACCCGGUAACUUGCUGUGGGACACCACUUCAUAUUGCUGCUACUGAAGGGCAAGACUGUGCUAUGAAGAUUUUACUUGGCCACAAUGCAGAUUACAACAAGAUGAUAAAUGGUAUGACACCUCUCUAUUUUGCUAUAAAUGUCUCCUCGGUGAAAUGUGCAAAACUCCUGAUUCAGGCUGGUGCUGUUGCCAAUGGAGAUUUUAUCUUAACCGCUUUAGCUGAUGCUCCAAGAAAUGGAUCAGCGGAGUGCUUGAAUUGCCUACUGGGGUUUGGUGGUGAAUGGCGUGCUCGUAAUGAUGAGGAGCCUGUGGAUAGAAAGAAAGUAGCAGAAUUGAAGUCACAAGGGAGCAAGGCAGUUGCAAGAAAGGAUUUUCUUUCUGCAGCAGAAGCCUACAGUAUGGCACUGGAGCUUGAUCCUGAUGAUGCGACGUUGUUCUCAAACAGGAGCCUUUGCUGGCUUCACAUAGGCAAAGGAGGCAAGCCUUUGCUCAGUUUACUGGAUGCUUAUGAAUGCAAAAAGAGGCGGCCUGAUUGGUCGAAGGCCUUCUACAGGGAGAGCAAAGCUCUAGCGUUACUGAAGGACUACAAGGGUGCAUGCGAUGCGCUUCUGAACGUAUUGAAGAUGGACCCAGGGAAUGCUGAAAUCGAGGACGGAUUGCGGAAAGCUAUGGAAUCCUUGAAGGUGUCUCAAAGCACCAAGGCCAAGUGA